rnacentral:lncRNA from 1 species
CUAACAAACAAACAAAUAUUCUCUCACACUGUAAAACUCAAUCCCGUUUGAUGCUGUGAGAAUCAAACACUUCAGCCAAAUCAAAAUUCGAUCACACGGCGAUGGAGAAUCGUACCGGUUUAACCUACAUGAACCGGAAAUUAAGCGGUUUAAGCGUAACCGACGAUUCCUCUUCCGCGUUCAGCGACUGUAACAGCGACAGAUCCGGCGAGUUUCCACCGUCUUCCUCCGAGAACCGCCGUCUCUUCCUCUACCGCGCAGCUGAGAAUCCCGACGAUUUGAUCCGUUACCUCGUAUCGCAUCUCGACUCUUCCUCCUCCUCCAUCGACGAGCAGAAGCAAGCCGCCAUGGAGAUCAGGCUCUUAACCAAAGACAAACCGGAGAACCGGAUCAAACUCGCCAGAGCCGGCGCGAUCAAACCGUUGAUCUCUCUCGUCUCUUCCUCCGAUCCUCAGCUUCAGGAGCACGGCGUCACCGCUGUGCUGAACCUCUCCCUCUGCGACGAGAACAAGGAGCUGAUCGCUUCCUCCGGCGCGAUUAAACCGCUCGUUAGGGUUUUGAAAUCGGGAACGCCGACGGCGAAAGAGAACGCCGCCUGCGCUCUCCUCCGCCUAUCGCAGAUCGAAGACAACAAGAUCGCGAUCGGGAGAUCCGGAGCGAUUCCUCACUUGGUGAACCUUCUGGAAACCGGCGGGUUCAGGGGGAAGAAGGACGCGGCGACGGCUCUUUACUCUCUCUGCUCGGCGAAGGAGAACAAGAUCAGGGCCGUGGAAUCGGGCGUUAUGAAGCCGCUCGUGGAGCUGAUGGCGGAUUUCGAUUCGAACAUGGUGGAUAAAUCGGCGUACGUGAUGAAUCUGCUGAUGUCGGCGCCGGAGUCGAAGCCGGCGGUGGUGGAGGAAGGAGGAGUUCCGGUGCUUGUGGAGAUAGUGGAGGUGGGAACGCAGAGGCAGAAGGAGAUGGGCGUGUCGAUAUUGCUGCAGCUUUGUGAGGAGAGUGUGGUGUAUCGAACCAUGGUGGCGCGCGAAGGUGCGAUUGCUCCUGUGGUGGCUUUGUCGCAGAGUAGUAAGAGUCGAGCUAAGCUAAAGGCGGAGGCGUUGAUUGAGCUUCUAAGACAACCAAGACAACAACAACAACAACGGUUAGAUUCUAACAGAAGCUAGAAUGUGUGUGACUGAAGAUCUUUGGUAUUGUAAAAUAUCUUUCGAAUGGCAUUCCACAUUUUUGUGAAUAGUGUGAGCGGGUGUGUAUACAGAUGCUUGAUUUGAGCUUUAAUUAAUGGGCCUAUAUAGACCCAUCUCACGUGCUUUAUCAAUUAAUGGACGGGCUUAGUUUGUAUUUUGAUUAUGAUCACUCAAUGUUCUAACCCAAUUAUGUAACUAGGUUUGGAGAUCAACUCUGCUCAGCUUUGCUAACUCAACUUUUUUUUUUUUUUUUAACUACCCUUCUUCAUUUAUUUAUAACUCAAUUUACACGCCCAACACGGGCCUUGUGCACUAAAAGAAAAACUCAGCCGGCUUACAAAGCCCAACUGCUAUAAGAGAAUCAAACACUUCAGCCAAAUCAAAAUUCGAUCACACGGCGAUGGAGAAUCGUACCGGUUUAACCUACAUGAACCGGAAAUUAAGCGGUUUAAGCGUAACCGACGAUUCCUCUUCCGCGUUCAGCGACUGUAACAGCGACAGAUCCGGCGAGUUUCCACCGUCUUCCUCCGAGAACCGCCGUCUCUUCCUCUACCGCGCAGCUGAGAAUCCCGAC